CUUCUGGAGUCUUCCAUAGCAUCAAGCGCCACUCUUUUUCUAGUUGCCAUAGCUUGUUGUCCGAAACAGAGGCUGAUUUUGUUUCAAAAGGUGCGAAAUUUGUGGAUCGCUCGCUCUCUCCCUCCCCGUCUCCGACCGGUUUCUGCCAGAAUUUUCAGGAAUUCUGAUUGACCACUGCCCGCUCAGUCAACCAAUCGAUCAACAAUGACUCAUAUCCUUUGCUGACGAUCACGAACGCGGUAACCAAAGAGAAAGAGACCGUGAAAGGGCUCAAGCCAGGGCAGGCCAUAAAACAAAGAAUUCCAAAGAUGACGGACUAACACCUGAACAACGCCGCGAAAGAGACGCGAAGGCUUUACAGGAAAAGGCAGCGAGAAAAGCUGCGCAGGCAGCGGCUGGAGGGAAUAAUGCUGGAGGUAGAGGAGGUAAAAGCACCAAGAAUUGAUAGGGAGGCAUAGAGAUUUGUGUAGUUGGGAAUGAUUGUACAAGUUCAGGUCUUGGUUUCUGGUUUUCUGGAGUGAUGUCUCUGUCAUUUGAGAUUUAAUAAACCAUUUGUGUAUUUCCUUGGAGAGCAUUGAUGUUGGCUUCUGAAGAACCUGUGGCUUAUAUCUGAGAUGCAAUGAAAUUCCUAUGUCCAGUUGCAGCUUGUGCAA